GAGGAAAUUUCCAAAAAAAUUACAAAUUUAAAAAUCGCAAUUUUUGAAAUUUUUUUAUUUGAAACUUCCAUAACUUUUUCAUAAUUAUAAUUCAAUGUUAUUGAAUUAUAAUUUAAUUAUUAAAAUUCGGUCUAGACAUAUAAUAUUUUUCUUCUUACGUGUUAAACCAUUUUUUUUAGUAAAUCCAAUAAUAAUAAUAAUAAUGGCUGUGUGUGUGUGUAUACUCAUUUUAUUCUUGCUAAAUCAUAUAAAACGCAACAUCUUAUGGUUUUUGUAUCAUUCAGUUGGUUCACGAUUUAGGUGUUUUAUAACAACUACGUUUCUUUUAUUGACUUAUUUUAAAAAGUAACAUAAAAAAGAAUUAUUACUUUUAGAAUACACCAGAAUACGGCGGCCAGAAGUUUUUUAUUAUUUUAAUUAAUAUUAAAAAUGAAACUCGAGAAAACAACACGCCAGUUUUCGGUAAUUUAAUGAUUAACCUUGACAACGAAUUAGGAAUUCAAUUGUCGUGCAAUAUAAUAUAAUAUAAUAAGGAGCAAUAACACAGAACUCUAAUGAUUCAAUUUAUUUUAUCGAUUCAAUCACGAAUCAUAGACCAAUAAUUGAAUCACGUGAUGGUAAUUGGUCAACACCUAAUGGCCACGAGUCAACUAUAAAAAUGACCUGAAUGUAUAUGAUAGGUCAGAUGCAAUUUUCUUACUGUAAACCGAGUUUUUACUCUAAUUCAUAAAGUUAUCAUUUAUCGCUUAACACACACACGCACAUAUAGACAGACAUUAUUUUUCCCGACUUUAUAUUUAUUAUAAAUUUUUUUUUAAUAACUAUUUCAAGUAGUAUCAUAGUGCACAAAAUCUUUUACAUUAAUGCAAAAUUUGAGACGUCACGAAAAAACCCACACCGAUAUCCGUCACCCAUAUUCAGUUUGUCAAGUGGAUUUAAGUAUCUAGGAGAUCUAAAAAAACAUUUAUAUAAACACAUUGCUAAUAAUAAAAAAAUUAAAUACUGUAACGAGAUUAACAACAACAACUGAGACCAAGUGUUAUAACCCAUACAUCGAAUUACUAUAAUAAUCGCCGAAUUUGAAUUUAUGUCCUCAAUAUCAGCAAUUUUUUGACGAGACAAAACCAGAAUUAAUUAACUUAUUGGUGGAGUUAGUCUCUGAAAAUGGGAUUAAAUUUGGGCUUAAACUUGAAAGUAUAUACAUCGUGUCAGACACAAUAAUUUAAGAAAAUUGGUCUUUUAAAACGUCUGUCCGUUCACUCGUUAUUGGUGAUAUAAACGAUUAGAGUAGUAUAAUCGACGAAGAGUUUGCUAAAUUAUUGUAUGAACAUAAGAUCACUGUGGUAUGGUAUUGAAUUUCACAAUGGAUACAGUCAAUGGAUUAUUACUCUAUGUAUAUAAAUUCACUCCGCUUGGUGGUUAUUCAUAUAUUAAGUUACCUAAAUGUAUUGAAAACCAUAAGGCAACAAUCAAUGUAAUGAAUAAUGAUGAUUUAUGUUUUAAAUAUAGUAUAAUGGCAAAAAAUGUUAACUCAGUAAAUGCUAAUCAUGGUUAUUAUGAGAAUCCUGUCUAUAAAUAAGAGCAAAUUCAAGAAAAAUAUUGAAUAAAUUAGAUUAAUUUUAGCGAUUACUUUAAAAAUGUAUGAAAA